UACGGAGGAGGCAAGCGUUAUCCGGAAUUAUUGGGCGUAAAGCGUCCGUAGGUGGUGGUGCAAGUCAGCUGUUAAAGCGUGGAGCUUAACUCCAUAAGGGCAGUUGAAAACUGCGCCGCUAGAGUGCGAUAGGGGGCAAGGGGAAUUCCCAGUGUAGCGGUGAAAAUGCGUUGAUAUUUAUGGGGGAACACCAAAAAGCGAAAGGCAGCAGACUGGAGCACUCCUGACACUGAAAACAAGAAAAGCGUGGGUCGCGAAUGGG
rnacentral:rRNA from 1 species